rnacentral:rRNA from 1 species
CCUACGGGAGGCAGCAGUGGGGAAUAUUGGACAAUGGGGGGAACCCUGAUCCUGCCAUGCCGCGUGUGUGAAGAAGGCCCUCGGGUUGUAAAGCACUUUCAGUGAGGAAGAACGCCUGGUGGUUAAUACCCAUCAGGAAAGACAUCACUUACAGAAGAAGCACCGGCUAACUCCGUGCCAGCAGCCGCGGUAAUACGGAGGGUGCGAGCGUUAAUCGGAAUUACUGGGCGUAAAGCGCGCGUAGGUGGCUUGAUAAGCCGGUUGUGAAAGCCCCGGGCUCAACCUGGGAACGGCAUCCGGAACUGUCAAGCUAGAGUGCAGGAGAGGAAGGUAGAAUUCCCGGUGUAGCGGUGAAAUGCGUAGAGAUCGGGAGGAAUACCAGUGGCGAAGGCGGCCUUCUGGACUGACACUGACACUGAGGUGCGAAAGCGUGGGUAGCAAACAGGAUUAGAUACCCGGGUAGUC